CACCUCCCCGAUGGAAAGAUGGACAAUAUGAAUGGUAACCAAAGAGAAGAGAACAACUUUCAAAGAGAUUAGAGAUGAACUCCAAGGUCAAGGUACAUCAG